GAUCCCUGGGGUCCUUGUUUCUGAGCUUCAGGAACCUGAGGAGGAGGAAAGUUGAUCUAUGACUUGGCUUCCUGAAUCUUCAAGCCUGAAAUCUUCCCUGCCCCUGCCGGUGUUGGUGGAUUCCCCUGCUCCCCUGAAGAGAGAAACGGGGACCAAACCUGUUCUUGAACCCUGUCUAGAAAUGGGAGCAUUGUCCACACGUGGAAAAGCUUUCAGCGGAAACAGACACGAGGUGGUUGAUCCUUUCUUCUUGAUCCAGUCUGGGCAUUCACCUUGUAGUUGGCUGGGCUCAGUCUCUUGCUCUGGAUGGUCGUAACUGACCCAGUCUCGGGAGCUACCAAAACGAGAGAGACUGGGAAGCUUGGUGUUCAGUCAUCACUGGGAGCCUACUAGGAGAACAAGGUACCAUGCAGCCACUGGAAAGGCUGAGUGUCUAGAAAGGGCCAUAACAGAGGAAAAUCCUGCUUGGCUGACUGGGGCCAGGACUGUGGCUUUAAAGCAAUUGGCGCAGAUGUUGAGUGAGGGGGUGCUUUCAUUUUGUGCUCAAUAAAACCAGUUUUAUUCAGG
ensembl:lncRNA